CCAACGGCCCUCUUUAGGGCCACAAUUGAUAUCGAAUACCUUCACGU
rfam:Ancylostoma duodenale strain Zhejiang A_duodenale-1.0_Cont259865.1, whole genome shotgun sequence.